CCUACGGGAGGCUGCAGUGAGGAAUAUUGGUCAAUGGCCGGAAGGCUGAACCAGCCAAGUCGCGUGAGGGACGACUGCGCUAUGGAUUGUAAACCUCUUUUAUCAGGGAAGAAUAAAUGCUCCGUGUGGCAUGCUGCCUGUACCUUAUGAAUAAGCAUCGGCUAACUCCGUGCCAGCAGCCGCGGUAAUACGGAGGAUGCGAGCGUUAUCCGGAUUUAUUGGGUUUAAAGGGUGCGUAGGCGGUUUUUUAAGUUAGUGGUUAAACGUCGGGGCUUCACCUUGAUUUGCCAUUAAUACUGUAAGACUCGAGUUGAGACGAGGUAGGCGGAAUAAGUUAAGUAGCGGUGAAAUGCUUAGAUAUAACGCAGAACUCCGAUAGCGAAGGCAGCAUACCAGACGGCGACUGACGCUGAAGCACGAGAGCGUGGGUAGCGAACAGGAUUAGAUACCCUAGUAGUC
rnacentral:rRNA from 1 species